UCUCCCUUACAGUCUCACACAUCAAAAUCAGCUGUGAAUAUAAUCAGUAUGGCCGCUGUAAGAAUAAAAAAAUAAAUAUUUUCUUCAAAUUUAACUAAAAUCACUCAAGCAAACAAUAGGAAAGUGGAAUACUUGCUUUUUAUUUGUUUUAUUUUUGAGUUUCGGUGUUGAUGCUACUAAAUGUGUUGCGUCAUGACAGAAUAGACCUCUCACUGACAAAAUACAAAAAAAUACUUUGAUAGCAAUUUAUAAAGUUAUUGUUUUUCAAUCAUCACGUAUCUUUGUGCCGUGUAAAACGUCGGGCUCAUGUUAAUCGCGAACUAAGUUGAUAAAAUUACAAAAAUGAGCAGCGUUCGCUUGAGUUUUAUCUCCGUCGGUAGAAUAGCUGUAAGGAGAAAUUCACAAUUGACAUCGGGAGGCGGCGGGUGUCGCGCGCUCCGUCGGCCCGCUCCUCGCUCCAUCAGCACGUGCGCGGUGCUGUGCAAGAGUCCCACCGACCAGCCCCCCGCAGCGCCCCACGCCAAGGACAACGCCGGCGCCGGUUCAUCAGGCGGCAAGAAAGGCGGUAGUGGGGUCCUGACAUGCCCCAAGUGCGGUGACCCGUGCACCCACGUGGAGACCUUCGUCAGCUCCACGCGCUUCGUGAAGUGCGAUAAGUGCCACCACUUCUUCGUGGUGCUCAGCGAGGUCGACACCAAGAAGAGCAUCAAGGACAACGCAGAGAACAAAUCUGGUUUCUACAGAAAACCCCCUCCCCCGCCCAAGAAGAUAUUCGAGUACCUGAACAAGCACGUGGUGGGCCAGGAGUACGCCAAGAAGGUGCUGUCGGUGGCCGUGUACAACCACUACAAGAGGAUCUACAACAACGUCAGUAGCAGCGCCGCAGCCGACGCCCAUCACCCGCUGCACCAGGCCCACAAAGAUUUGGUCCAUUUAAGCCAGGGCGGCGGCGGGGCGGAAGUUUUGGACCGACAGAACCACGAGCUCCGACUUGACAAGAGCAACGUGUUGCUCCUGGGGCCUACUGGAAGUGGGAAGACGCUCCUGGCACAGACGAUAGCGCAGUGCCUGGACGUGCCGUUCGCGAUCUGUGACUGCACCACUCUGACGCAGGCCGGCUACGUGGGCGAGGACAUCGAGAGCGUCAUCGCCAAGCUGCUGCAGGACGCCAACUUCAACGUGGAGCGCGCGCAGACCGGUAUCGUGUUCCUGGACGAGGUGGACAAGAUCGGCGCGGUUCCCGGCAUCCAUCAGCUACGGGAUGUGGGAGGCGAGGGUGUACAGCAGGGCAUGCUCAAGAUGCUGGAAGGCGCCGUGGUGUCGGUUCCGGAGCGUAACUCCCGCAAGCUGCGUGGAGACGCGGUGCAAGUUGACACCACCAAUAUACUCUUCGUGGCCAGUGGCGCUUACAACGGCCUGGACCGACUGAUCCAGCGGCGCAACAACGAGAAGUACCUCGGGUUCGGUGCGUGGGACCCCAAGUCGGGGCGUCGCGCCGCAUUCGCUGCCGCGGCCGCAGACGCGUCGCCGCUGGACACGGCCAGCCACGAGUGUGACGAGCGGGACGCCUGGCUGCGCAAGGUGCAGGCGCGGGACCUCAUCGACUUCGGCAUGAUACCGGAGUUCGUGGGUCGGUUUCCGGUGCUGGUGCCGUUCCACAGUCUGAACCAGGAUCUCUUAGUACGGAUACUCACUGAACCCAAAAAUGCUAUUGUGGCGCAGUACAAGCUGCUGUUCUCGAUGGACAAAUGCGAGCUGUCGUUCAGCGAGGAGGCGCUGCGAGCUGUCGCUUCCCUCGCCAUGGAACGUAAGACGGGCGCGCGCGGCCUGCGGGCCAUCAUGGAAAACCUAUUAUUAGAAGUGAUGUUUGAGAUUCCCGGCUCCGACGUUACGUCUGUACACAUACACGAGGGGUGUGUCAAUCGCAGCGAGCCACCACGCGUCGAGCGACGCCACGAGCACGAGUCCAGCGACCUCCGACACUGGCCCUCGGUGCGACUACACAACUGAGUCCCUCGACAACACCGCUCUAUUCUCACGCACGCAGGAUGGCUUCAAUAUCUGAACAAGUGAGAAAGCUGAAGCUGAGCCGUCAUUAACACAGUACGCGUUGUGACACACACCCGACGACACACAGUAUCACACAUUACCACAUAACACCACACUAGAUCACCUACUGCCCACGCCUACAUUAAAUGAUUCUCUAUGCGCGGACACAACAAUAUCAUAGGUCAAUUACAAAAGAAUAAAAUGUAACUCCAGGUGUGUCAAAGUAUAAUGCUAUUAGUUACAUCGAAGUUAAACGAAAAGAAAGGGAUGUAAGAACGCAUUUCAGUUUAGUUAUUUGUAGUUAAAACUCAUGUUACUGUUUUUGUACAUGCUCAUUGUGUAACAACGUAACAAAAUACUCCAUUUUAAAUCCCAAUUUAAGAUCGUACGUCGAUGGCUGUGUUCAUUUACGAUAAACUUGUUAUGUUUGUAUGUUAUAUUAUCAUUACCAAACUAAAUUGUAAAUACAGUACUGUGCUGACAAUAUGUUAACUUAUUAAAAAAAAUGGGCUCAGCUAGACAUACAUAAGGACAUUACUCAUAAGACGUCAAUAAAAAACAGAAUAAGAUUAAAAUUAAAUAAAAAAUAAUAGGAAAAUCUUAUGGUUCAAAUUUUUUUUUGUUAGAACUUGUUUGUUUCUCGAGCAAGCAGUUGAGGUUUUAUUCAGAUAGAGAUAAAUACAAUACGAUGAUCUUCGAAGUAGUUCCUUACAUUAAUUGAUUAGGUUGUGUGUGGUUUGCCAUGGCGCAGCGCACCACACCGUGUGAUGUAAAUUACUGUAAAUAUUAAUAAUAACAGAUGUAACUGUAUUUAAGAUUAGAUUAAAUUCAUAGAAAUAGUGGCUGGCAAGGGUGGCAACAACUUAUCGGUGCGCAACAUAAUAUUAUCGAUAAAGAUGAUAUUUAUGCAACUCUUGUGUAAUAAGGGUUAUUAAAACACGAAUGUGGUAAUAGAUACUACAUGAGUGUUUUAAUACCUAAUUAUCAACAGGUGCAUGCAAGACUUUAUCUAGACCCAUAAUAUAAAUCCUCUAAAAGAUACUGAAACAGUUAGCUUACUACUAACAUUAAAAAAGCCAGUCCUAGUAACCAUAAUAUCAUCCAAAAGAGUGUUAUUGUGAAAACGGAUGAUGUAAUGUUGUACUGAAUUUCAUUACAACACUCGUUUGGAUGAUGUAAUGGUUAUUAGGACAUUGGGUGUUUUAAUGUUGGCAAGUAACUGUUUUAGAAUCUUUAAUAGAGGAUUUAAAGCAUGGGUGUAGAUAAAUGUCAUACAAUUCAUAAUUGUGUUACGUUUUGUAAAACAUUGAAAGGCCAAGAUUACUCACUUAUUGUACAACAUGAUUAAUUGGUCAAAGUUACUCUAGUGCCAAUAAUAAUUUUUAUUUCUAUUCUUUAAUUCCAUUACCGAGUGACAUUCCUUCUACUUCAAUUAAGAUCAUUAAAUUGAUAUAGUUUUGAUGUUCAUCGAUAAAACUUGGGUUACAAGUAAAAUUCGUUCAAUUGUUUUCAAACAUUGUAACCUAACCAAACUCAAUAUUGCCAACUGUAAAGACUUUACCGAUUAAUAACAAAAUACGAUCUCAUAGCAAGUCCGGUAGCUGAGCAGUAAAUGAUAUAAACCGAGAAAUAUUUAGUAGUAAUGGGAGUGAUCUGCCACCUGCCACCUGUCAGGUGUCACCAGCAGCUGGCAACACUGUGAGAAUAACUUUCGACACAAUGUUUUUGUUACACGUUUUAUUUACUCUAUGAUGACUGUGUUGUUGUGAUGUGAUUAUAGACUAACAUAAAUUUUAGUAACAUUUUAGAGAUAUAUUGAUUUAAUCACAUUACAAUCAGAUACAUAGAUUAAGCUUAUUUUCAAAUAAAUUUACAAAAGA